UACAGAGGGGGGAAGAGAGAAGAGGAAUUACUGGGCGUAAAGCGCGCGUAGGUGGUUUGGUAAGUCGGAUGUGAAAUCCCCGGGCUCAACCUGGGAACUGCAUUCGAAACUGCCUGGCUAGAGUUUGAGAGAGGGAAGUGGAAUUCCACAUGUAGCGGUGAAAUGCGUAGAUAUGUGGAGGAACAGCAGUGGCGAAGGCGGCUUCCUGGCUUAAAACUGACACUGUGGCGCGAAAGCGUGGGUAGCAAACAGG
rnacentral:rRNA from 1 species